CCCUUACACUGGAACUGAGACACGGUCCAGACUCCUACGGGAGGCAGCAGUGAGGAAUAUUGGUCAAUGGUCUGACGACUGAACCAGCCAUGCCGCGUGAAGGUGACGGCCCUAUGGGUCUUAAACUUCUUUUGUCAGGGAGCAAUAAGUUCCACGAGUGGGAUGAUGAGAGUACCUGACGAAUAAGCAUCGGCUAACUCCGUGCCAGCAGCCGCGGUAAUACGGGGGAUGCGAGCGUUAUCCGGAUUUAUUGGGUUUAAAGGGUGCGUAGGCGGUCCGGUAAGUCAGCGGUGAAAUUUCGGAGCUCAACUUCGAACGUGCCGUUGAUACUGUCGGACUUGAAUGCGGAUGCCGUGGGAGGAAUGUGUGGUGUAGCGGUGAAAUGCAUAGAUAUCACACAGAACACCGAUUGCGAAGGCAUCUCACGAAUCCGCGAUUGACGCUGAUGCACGAAAGCGUGGGGAUCAAACAGGAUUAGAUACCCUGGUAGUCCACGCUGUAAACGAUGAUGACUAACCGUCGGCGAUACACAGUCGGUGGCCAAGCGAAAGCGAUAAGUCAUCCACCUGGGGAGUACGACCGCAAGGUUGAAACUCAAAGGAAUUGACGGGGGCCCGCACAAGCGGAGGAACAUGUGGUUUAAUUCGAUGAUACGCGAGGAACCUUACCCGGGCUCGAACGGCAGAUGAAUAACUCAGAGAUGGGUUAGUCUUCGGACAUCUGUCGAGGUGCUGCAUGGUUGUCGUCAGCUCGUGCUGUGAAGUGUCGGCUUAAGUGCCAUAACGAGCGCAACCCUUGCCGUCAGUUGCCAUCAGGUAAAGCUGGGGACUCUGGCGGGACUGCCACCGCAAGGUGUGAGGAAGGGGGGGAUGACGUCAAAUCAGCACGGCCCUUACGUCCGGGGCGACACACGUGUUACAAUGGUGGGUACAGAGGGAAGCUACCUGGCGACAGGAUGCAGAUCUCGAAAACCCAUCCCAGUUCGGAUUGGAGUCUGCAACCCGACUCCAUGAAGUUGGAUUCGCUAGUAAUCGCGCAUCAGCCAUGGCGCGGUGAAUACGUUCCCGGGCCUUGUACACACCGCCCGUCAAG
rnacentral:rRNA from 1 species